rnacentral:rRNA from 1 species
GACGAACGCUGGCGGCGUGCUUAACACAUGCAAGUCGAACGGAAAGGCCCUGCUUUUGUGGGGUGCUCGAGUGGCGAACGGGUGAGUAACACGUGAGUAACCUGCCCUUGACUUUGGGAUAACUUCAGUAAACUGGGGCUAAUACCGGAUAGGAGCUCCUGCUGCAUGGUGGGGGUUGGAAAAUUUCGGCGGUUGGGGAUGGACUCGCGGCUUAUCAGCUUGUUGGUGGGGUAGUGGCUUACCAAGGCUUUGACGGGUAGCCGGCCUGAGAGGGUGACCGGCCACAUUGGGACUGAGAUACGGCCCAGACUCCUACGGGAGGCAGCAGUGGGGAAUAUUGCACAAUGGGCGGAAGCCUGAUGCAGCAACGCCGCGUGCGGGAUGACGGCCUUCGGGUUGUAAACCGCUUUCGCCUGUGACGAAGCGUGAGUGACGGUAAUGGGUAAAGAAGCACCGGCUAACUACGUG